UUAGAACCUUCAAUGUCCAAAUGACGACGCGUACUUGGACGACUUGUUGAGGGGUCAACAUAAGAGGUAUCAUUGGCCUAAAAAAUACACAAUUUUAAAUAAGGAUUCCCUGGUAUUUUAUUUGCUGUAAUGGAAAGGGCACUAUCCAAUAAAAAUUUUUUAAAAAAAAGUAAGGAUUUCCACCCAUAAACGAAUGUGACCUACUGUCUCAUUGUUUGUCAAAUCUCGUAAACAUCUUGUUUCCACUAGAACUGGAUUCUCAUGAUUUGUCUACAAAUAACAACCAACACGACAUGGGGGAUUCAAAACUAUUUUUAAGGAAGCGCACCGUUAAAAACUUAAAAUUUGGAUGAAAAAAUCGAUUUUCUAAAUCGAUAUAUGUUUGACCGACAAUUUGAAAAGAAGACCAUGAAGUGUUUCUAAAAAAGAAUAAUAUCAUUUGAAUCUAAAGAAAACUUUUGUUAUCUAAUCCAUUUAGUAAUUUCUUACACUGUUGAAAUACCAAUAGUUAAAAUUGCAUUUUGGGGGAAUUCCGCAUCUAACUCGAACGAACGAUAAAAGUCUGGAGCCAAUCCUUUUCUUGCGUCCCAUAACCAUAUUUCACGACGAGAAACCAUUCUCCUUCAUCGUUUGCACUUGUGCAUAAACCAGUAGCAUUUUUCACGUGCACUCUCACUUUAAGAGGUCCGGUACUUAAUUGUUUACGCAGCUUAUCAACAU